rnacentral:tRNA from 1 species
ACCUGGCUGGCUCAGUCGGAAGAGCAUGAGACUCUUGAUCUUGAGGCGGAGAGUUCAAGCCCCAUGCUGGGUG